CCCUUAGAUGUUCUGGGCCGCACGCGUGCUACACUGAGUGGAUCAGCGGGUCAGGUUGCGCGAAAGUGUUUCCUAAUCUUUAAAUCCGCUCGUGAUGGGGAUUGACGGUUGCAAUUUUCCGUCAUGAACGAGGAAUACCUUGUAAGCGCGGGUCAUCAUCCCGCGCUGAAUACGUCCCUGCCCUUUGUACACACCGCCCGUCGCUCCUACCGAUUGAGUGGUCCGGUGAGGCUUUGGGAUCUGGGCGGAAAGAGCGUUUCGCUGUCUCUGCCCGGAAAACUCAGUCGAACCUUAUCAUUUAGAGGAAGGAGAAGUCGUAACA
rnacentral:rRNA from 1 species